ACGUGUAUUCUUAGGUAAAUAAUAUGGUGUGUUUUAUUGUUAUUGCUUGAGAAUACACGUAG
rnacentral:pre_miRNA from 1 species